CGUCAGUUAUGGACAAAGAGUCGUCAAAUCAAACAGGACCAGAGAUUAUGAUCCAACUGCAGCUCACUCAGUAGUGAGAAGAGCAGAGAGGAGAGAGUGUCUCCAUUAGAGCCAGAGGUUGUCUACUCUUCACUGAGGUAGACCUCCACACCUUCACACCAGUCCAACCACUGACGUCCAGCUGGCCUGUUACUGGUCUCCAGAGCCCAUCAGACAGUAGUACAUUCAUUUAUAGAUUUCAUAUACUUCAUGUUGUUGUUCACUAAAUUAGACUCAUGCAGCAACAGAAAAACAAACUGAUUUAUUUAGUGAAUAAACAGUGAAAUGUAAAAACUAGAAAUAAAUACAUUUGUGGAAUAUUAUCCAAUAUAAUAAUAAUAAUAAUAUUUUAACUUCAACAAGAUGUUUCUGAUCUCAU